rnacentral:rRNA from 1 species
UACGGGGGGGGCAAGCGUUGUUCGGAAUUACUGGGCGUAAAGGGUGCGUAGGCGGCUUUCUAAGUUGGAUGUGAAAACUAUGGGCUCAACCCAUAGCCUGCAUCCAAAACUGGAGAGCUUGGGUUCUGGAGGGGAAAGCGGAAUUCCUGGUGUAGCGGUGAAAUGCGUAGAUAUCUGGAGGAACAUCGGUGGCGAAGGCGGCAUCCUGGACCGAUAUUGACGCUGAGGCGCGAAAGCCAGGGGAGCAAACGGG